AGUGCAGGACUGAAAAAUGUCCCCUCCUGACACUCCUGAGAUGCAGAGCACCCAGUCCCUCCAUUACCAGAUGACGAUGACAGAGGUGACAGUGGCUUCUCUUCAGUGGACAGAUCACAUGCCAGAUAACCCAACCACGUGAUCUCUGCACCUGCCAGUGAUCCUGAGAUUGCUGCCUGGGUCCUGCUGGAGACGAUACAUAAUAAACGACAUAUUCCCAAAUCUGAAACACCAAAUUCUUCGAUGAUCUGCCUCAAGGGUUUCAGGGGUGAAUGACUGUCCCUGAGAAAGCAGCGUUUGGCUAAUAAGUGGACACAUGACUUAGCUGAGCUGGAUGGCAUC